UGUUGCAAACAGUCAGACACCACUGAGUAAGCACACAACACAGUAAGAUUACCACUUGCUGAAGGCUCAAAGGAUGGUUACCAUUGUUUAGCAAUAACGCAUUUUUAAAGUAAGGUAUGUACAGUGUUUUUUACACAAACGGCUACUGCAAACUUCAUAGACUGCAGGAUAAUGUAAACCUAAUUUUGAUAUGCACUGGGACACCAAAAAAACUGAAUGACUCGCUUUACUGUGGUGAUCUGGAAUCUCGCGGACCACCAAAUCACAAUUAUCUCAGGUAUUACCUGUAAUGACAUCUAUCUGCAUUUGCCAUGGAAUUUUUUUCUCCAUUAGAGGGACCAUCAGCUGGGUCUCACACUUCAAGACCAGCCCCCCUCAUUUCUGAAACUCCUUUCUGUGUAAAAUGAGGAUUUGUUUUGAGAUCCAGUGGUUUGAGCACGCAUCGCAACGACGUGGCCCAUCCCCCAGGCCAGCCACUGUGUGGCCCUGCCCAGUUCACCACGGACCCUGGCGAAGCGCAACCCUCCAGUAUGGCUGCCUCUGCUGCGCAUGCGCGAACCAUCCCGUCUCGCGCAGUUACCCGGCUGCUUCUGCCAGGGAGACGGAGCCGGUCCCCUUAACCACAAGCUCACUCAUCGAGAUCGGAGUGUCACGGUGAGCCACGGAGCGGAGGGAUUCUGGGAGCAGGGACGCGAAGAGAAGUGGGAGUGACGUGGACUUACCGCCCACCAUUCAGCCACUUCAGAACCUGGAAAACUGCAGUCUGCCGGCCGCCCGCCUGCCCGCAAUCCAGUCGGAGAUGAGUCACAGGCAGGGACGCGCCUCGACUCAGAUGCUGGGCGCUGAGUGAGACGGGCGCGAGGGAAGACGUGACCUGGGUGUCAGAUCUGUGGUGUGGGGUGUCCCUGGCAGUAACCGCGAGGUGAGCGGAGGGUCCUUCCCUGCGAGAAGUCAGAGCUCUGCGCGUGGGCAGGCUGGCUCCACUGUUCUGCUCCAAGGAUUACAUGUCCUUCAAACGCCCCUGCCCCUGAGCCAUGGGGAAGGCAAGCCCAUGGAACACACACAAGAGGAGAAAGACAUGCCCAGCAUCAUCCCUUUGUUCAACGCUGGCUUUGAUUUAGAGGAGAGGAGAACACAAAAACAUAUCAUAAAAACUGAACGAGGAUCAUGUUUAGUAGGUAAGAAACUAAACUGUUUCCAAGUUUAGUAGGUAAUCAAGAGUUAUACUUCUGCUGCAAAAAUCUUUACAGGAUUGGAAGUACUAAAGUGACACUAAUACUGAAACACAGGUAAUCAGAGGUAGCCAAAGGCACUGGCGAUAUGAGUCAUCAUCAAAAGACAGCCCGGGUAAAUAUCACACAUUUCCUGUCAGCUGCUGCAAAGACUUGCAUUUUUCAAACUGAAAAGGAAUACUGUGGGGCUUUUUACUUAUCACUUACUGGAAGAAAGGCUGUUUUAGGCCCCCUCAUUGAACAUGAGACCAAGGUUUCCAAAUGAGUUUUCCUCUAUCAUCACAAGCUGCAUCAUACUCAGUUACUACUGUUUGACAUUGAACUGCUAUAUGUGAUAGUGUAGCUACUCUCUUGAGUAUGCCACAAAGAACUAUUAGAGUGAAAGAGCUAAUUGUGCAAAAAUGUAGGAUCCCAUAAGAAUGUGAAGAAGCCUUCUAUGUCUUGGAAACUAUUAUCUGGUUCCAGACACCUGCACAGACAGGUUCCUCCCUGAGAAGCAUUCGCCAGUGUCCCAGGGCAAGUUACAAAUUAUUUAGAAACUUUUCAAAAUCUUCCCCUUGCUCUAGCCAUGUCCUUGAUCCUGUUCCCAUCUCAGUCCCCAUGCCCCUUGCCCACUCUGAAGCCCAAACUCCCACCAAAGAUCUUUACUUUAAUAUAGUACAACUUACCCGUUAUUUCAUAGUCAGUAUUAAUACCUUUGUAUCCUGUUUAAGAAAUCCAAAGUCAUAAAGAUGUUCUAUAGUGCCCUCCUAUUGAAGCUUUACUGUUUUGCCUUUCAUAUUUAGUACUAUGUCCAGGGAAUGUUUUGUUAAGAUUUUAAGGUUUGUCAUAUAUUGAGCACCUACUGUGUUCCAAGCAUCCUGCUAAGCAGUGUGCUUUAAUUAACUCAAAGAAUUGCUGUUCCCACUUUGCAGUUGAAGUGCUAGAAGCUCAGAGGGGUAAACUUCCCAGAGACCACCUGCAAGAGGCAGGGCCAAGAUCUGAACCCAGGACUCUGACUUGGCAAGAUCCGAGGACCAGAUGCAUGUCAGCUUUGGUGAAGGAACUCUGGGGUUUCCCCCCACACCACCACUGCCCUGAGGAAGAUGACUGAGGAGUGACCCUUCUCCCAGAGGACACUAGGGCCAUUCACCUCAGACACUGAAUGCUGGUGAAUAAAAGGCAUUAGGACUGGGGCUGGGGUGCCCCAGCUCAGGACUACAAAGCAACCUUGGGGACUGGGGGAAUUCAGGACUUCUCCACAAACACUCCAUGUUUUUAUAAAUCUACGUUCCAUGAAACCACACGCUGAGAAACUACUCCAAAGCUCCAGGUUCAGUGUGAUGGUGUCAGCCAUUUGAGAUCAUUUGUAUCUAUUGUGGCCAAGAAGUAUCUAUCUUUGCCUGGUCUAGUAGUUUUUCUCAUUCUACCUACUGAAGUGACAUGUUAUGUUAAUAGAUUUCGUGGUCUUAAACCAUUCUUGCAUUCCUGGAAUAAGUCUUUUCUCCUCAAAAUGUAUUAUUUUUAGUACACUGCUGCCCUGGUGGCUUCCCACAUGCCCUUGUAAAUUCUAGGAGUUGAGGGAACUACUGUGGAGCAGGAGACAAAGUCCCAUGAUAUGUUCCAGAAUCAGAACCCACUAAAACAAAGGGCCAGAACAAAACCAGGGAUGAGAGUACUUGGGGUGGGGGCUCAGCCAUUGUGGCCCAAAAACACAUCUCUAGGCUGGCCCAGCUUGUGGGACAGUUGAUAAUUUGAAACAUUCAUGAAUUUAACAUUUUAUAUAUCAAUUAUUCAUUAACUUCCUGGAAAGACCACAUUGCAGUAAAUGGUCAUUUUCUGAAGCCACGAUUUUGAGACUCAUAAUGCAAAUGAGAGGGAAAUGGCAACCCACUCCAAUAUUUUUGCCUGGAGAAUCCCAUGGAGAGAGGAGCAUGGCCAGCUACA